UUUGAUCAUGCUCAGGACGAACGCUGGCGGCGUGCUUAACACAUGCAAGUCGAGCGGAAAGGCCACUUCGGUGGUACUCGAGCGGCGAACGGGUGAGUAACACGUGAGUAAUCUGCCUCUGGCUUCGGGAUAGCCACCGGAAACGGUGAUUAAUACCGGAUACGACACGCUCUUGCAUGAGAUGUGUGUGGAAAGUUUUUUCGGCCAGGGAUGUGCUCGCGGCCUAUCAGCUUGUUGGUGGGGUAAUGGCCUACCAAGGCUUCGACGGGUAGCCGGCCUGAGAGGGUGACCGGCCACACUGGGACUGAGACACGGCCCAGACUCUACGGGAGGCAGCAGUGGGGAAUAUUGGACAAUGGGCGGAAGCCUGAUCCAGCAACGCCGCGUGAGGGAUGACGGCUUCGGGUUGUAAACCUCUUUCAGCACAGACGAAGCGCAAGUGACGGUAUGUGCAGAAGAAGGACCGGCCAACUACGUGCCAGCAGCCGCGGUAAUACGUAGGGUCCGAGCGUUGUCCGGAAUUAUUGGGCGUAAAGGGCUCGUAGGCGGUUUGUCGCGUCGGGAGUGAAAACACCGGGCUUAACUCGGUGCUUGCUUUCGAUACGGGCAGACUAGAGGCAUUCAGGGGAGAACGGAAUUCCUGGUGUAGCGGUGAAAUGCGCAGAUAUCAGGAGGAACACCGGUGGCGAAGGCGGYNCUCUGGAAUGUC
rnacentral:rRNA from 1 species